rnacentral:rRNA from 1 species
CCCUAGAGGAGCCUGUUCCAUAAUCGAUAAACCCCGAUCCACCUCACCCUCUCUUGCUUAGCCUAUAUACCGCCAUCUUCAGCAAACCCUGAUAAAGGUUACAAAGUGAGCACAAACGCCCUACCGCCGCAAAAACGUUAGGUCAAGGUGUAGCCCAUGAGAGGGUAAAAAUGGGCUACAUUUUCUACAUCAGAAAACUCCACGAAAACUCUCAUGAAACCUGGGAGUCCAAGGAGGAUUUAGCAGUAAAUUAAGAAUAGAGUGCUUAAUUGAACUAGGCCAUAAAGCGCGUACACACCGCCCGUCACUCCCCUCAAAUAUAUUUAAGGAACAUCUUAACUAAACGCCCUAAUAUUUAUAUAGAGGGGAUAAGUCGUAACAUGGUAAGUGUACUGGAAGGUGCACUUGGAC